GCCUCUUGUUGCAAAGGUUUGGCGGCGGACGAGCUCCAGUUGCGGCAGGCGGAGUGGGAGGAAGUCGUCGUGGGGAUGAGCGGGAGCGCGUUCAAUGCGUUCAAGGCGCGGGUGCCGAUCGAGUGGAGCCCGAGGCUAUACAUCACGCUGGUGCGCGGUCUCCCAGGAACCCGCCGCCUCCACCGCCGCACCCUCGAAGCCAUGCGCCUCCGCCGCUGCAACCGCACCGUCCUCCACCGCACCACCCCCUCCCUCCUCGGUAUGCUCAACCAGGUGAAGAGGUUGGUGGUGGUGGAGACGGAGGAGAUGUACAAUACCCGGAAGCAGCAGGAGGAGGAGCACCGAGCUCUCCGCCCUCCCAUCGUCGUCAUUCAUACACCCCCUGCAGCCGAUCCUGCUCAGUAGCUGUUCUUCAAAGUCCUUCCGGUCAUGAUAGCAAGAAUACAAUUAAAUGCAGGGGCCUGUGGCCAGCUCAUGAAGCAGGCUAUGCAGCAAGGAAAAGGCUUUCAGUUGCUCUUCUCCUAUGCCCUUUGAAGUGUAAUUUCUAGGCCAUCUGGAGGCAUAUGAAUUUGGAUUGGCAGUCUGAGCACCACCUAGUAGAUACGUAAAUCGACAUCAUAAUCUGUCAGUGGACAGAACUCUUGUUUUCUUUCAUGCAGAGCUAAUUUAUAAUCAGUAUUCAGAUAAUAUCAUUGGACUCAUAUCGUUAUCAAUUUCAUAUGCAGUAAACUUCUUCGUGAUUUUUCUUAUAUAAAUAUAUACUGUAAACUUGUCAUGUUAAUGGCAACCCUCGGAAACCUUUACACUGCU